rnacentral:rRNA from 1 species
GACGAACGCUGGCGGCGUGCCUAAUACAUGCAAGUUGAGCGCCGAAGGUUGGUACUUGUACCAACUGGAUGAGCAGCGCACGGGUGAGUAACGCGUGGGGAAUCUGCCUUUGAGCGGGGGACAACAUUUGGAAACGAAUGCUAAUACCGCAUAAAAACUUUAAACACAAGUUUUAAGUUUGAAAGAUGCAAUUGCAUCACUCAAAGAUGAUCCCGCGUUGUAUUAGCUAGUUGGUGAGGUAAAGGCUCACCAAGGCGAUGAUACAUAGCCGACCUGAGAGGGGGAUCGGCCAACUUGGGACUGAGACACGGCCCAAACUCCUACGGGAGGCAGCAGUAGGGAAUCUUCGGCAAUGGACGAAAGGCUGAACGAGCAACGCCGCGUGAGGGAAGAAGGUUGUCGGAUCGUAAAACUCUGUUGGUAGAGAAGAACGUUGGUGAGAGUGGAAAGCGCAUCAAGUGACGGUAACUACCCAGAAAGGGACGGCUAACUACGUG